UACGUAGGGUGCGAGCGUUGUCCGGAAUUAUUGGGCGUAAAGGGCUCGUAGGCGGUUUGUCGCGUCGGGAGUGAAAACACCGGGCUCAACUCGGUGCUUGCUUUCGAUACGGGCAGACUAGAGGCAUGCAGGGGAGAACGGAAUUCCUGGUGUAGCGGUGAAAUGCGCAGAUAUCAGGAGGAACACCGGUGGCGAAGGCGGUUCUCUGGGACGGUACUGACGCUGAGACGCGAAAGCGUGGGGAGCGAACAGG
rnacentral:rRNA from 1 species